ensembl:lncRNA
GCGUACAUCACUGGGGCCAAGCUUCCUGCCAUCCAGGACCUCUAUACCAGGCAGUGUCAGAGGAAGGCCCAAAAAAUUGUCAGACUCCAGCCACCCAAGUCAUAGACUGUUGUCUCUGCUACCACACAGCAAGCGGUACCGGAGUCUAGGUCCAAAAGGCUCCUUAACAGCUUCUACCCCCAAGCCGUUAGAAUGCAGAACAAUUGAUCAAAUGGCAAUGGCAAUCAAACAUCUCUGGAGAGACCUGAAAACAGCUAUGCAGCAACGCUCCACAUCUAAUCUGACAGAGUUUAAGAGGAGCGUCAUACCCAAGAAGACUCAAGGCUGUAAUCACUGCCAAAGGUGCUUCAACAAAGUACUGAGUAAAGGGUCUGAAUACUUAUGUAAAUGUGAGAUAAUAAAUAAAAAAAUGUGAAUACAUUUGCAACAAAAAAAAUAUGUCAUUAUGGGGUAUUUUUUUAAACUUCAGUUUAUUUAGUAAAUAUUUUCUUAACUCUAAUUUUAUUAAAACUGCAUUGUUGGUUAAGGGCUUGUAAGUAUUUCUCGGUAAGUAUUCGGCGCACGUGACAAAUAAAAUUUGAUUUAGUAUCUAUUCCCAAAAUGUUUGGUCUUAGCUAGAACCAUUUCACUUCAAAUCUCGCUCACAAAAGUCCUAGAUCUUUCUCUCUCUUCAAAGAGAUAGGCCUCAUCAGGAACCUGAUGUUGAGAGAGAAGUCAUUUUCACUGAUCAGUUGUGACAAUCUUGUCUAAGGGAUCGAUAAACAACUUUAAUGAGCAGAAUCGGUUAAUAAAUCUUUACAAAUGUCACACAAUCACAUCAGACAGGGUACAACACAAUUUGAUUAUUUCAAUAGCUAUAAGAAACUUUCUUAAUAAAGUGUAAGAAAAAUCUGAUCCAGAAAUCAAUCUUGAGUACAACAAUCACUUAAAGAACCUUAAACAUAUGUUGUGGGUAGAAACUGGCUUCUGACCUUGACCUUCCAAAAUAUGACACAAACAAACAUGUUGAAUCAUACAAAUUCUGAAGUUCUUGAAAUGUAUAUCAGUUUUGAUAAUGAGCAAUGCUUUUCAUACAUUUGACCUACAUUGACUGGUAGGAUUAGCUACAGUCCUGUCCAGAAACAGAUCUACAAAAAUGCCUGGAGGUUAGAGGCUAUAGGGGUCGUUUAUGGACAGGCCACACAGAUCGCACCGAGUUCCAUAUGAAACUAAAAACCAUCAGGCCUGUGGUGGUAGUUCUUCAAAGUAACUAUGGCAUACAUUCUUAUGAUAGGAUUAUGAACCAUAGAAGAUUGCAGGCUCAUGAGUGCAUUGUAAACAAGCAUGUUGUCUGCUAUUACUGGCCUCUAUUCAUGUACAUUCAUCAUGAAGCAUAUCACCCUGUCUGGCACACACGCAGUACAAUAAAAUAAUCUGUACUUAGAAACAUCUCAACAAAAACAUAAUUAACCAAGCAUUUGUGGUGCUGCAUGUCUAUUGGUCAGAAAAGGUUAAAACGUUAAUGUUUGAAGUUAUUUUGAGUAUGCUCUUUUCCGUACAACAACUAGGCCUAUAUGCAGCUUUUUGGUCUAUCGCACAGACCGGUCCAGUAUGCAUUUGAAAUCAUGUCUGGCCACCAACAUAUUUGAAGCUUAUAAAGAAAUAAACUACCAGCCUAAAUAUACCUUUUCAUAUUCUUAACUGUGCUUUUACCAAGUUGCACAAAUUGGAAAUGGAAGAACAGUACAAAGAGUGGAGCUUCCCUGAGAGGACAAUGUAUCUACAAAUUUCUAUGAGCAGUCAUAAACAUCAGGCCAUUUUGAAAUCACGUCACAAAACCAUGCAGACGAGUUUUGCCCUCGACAGUGCAAUAACAAAACUGCACUCGUGUUCAGAUGUCAGUCAAAAUCCUGGAACUGAAGAUACAAAAAACAUUUUCCCUUCUCUCUUUUCUGAAAAGAACUAAACUAAGCAAUAGACCAAUGGAGUGCAAGCACUUGGUGACUUACUGAUAUCAUGUAACGUUGUAAUAGACAGACAUAAACCUGCUGACUGGUCAGUGGGUGAACUGUCACAGGCUUUUGUAAACAAACGUAACCUGUGUCUUAUCAAAGAUGCUCUCUCAGCUACUGCAGAUAUGAGUUAGAAUGUCUUCUACAGAAAUAAAUUAAAGCACUCCAGUAUCCAGUAAAUGUCCUUGUUUUUGAAAGAAAUGCUAUUUUCUUAGCACAGCUGAAACCUGUUGUUCUGAUUAAAGAAGCAAUAAAACUGGCCUUCUUUAAACUAGUUGAGUAUCUGGAGCAUCAGCAUUUGUGGGUUCGAUUACAGGCUCAAAAUGGCCAGAAACAAUGCACUUCCUUCUGAAACUUUCAGUCUAUUCUUGUUCUGAGAAAUAAAGGCAAUUCCAUGCGAGUAAUUGCUAAGAAACUGAAAAUCUCAUACAACGCUGUGUACUACUCCCUUCACAGAACAGUGCAAUCUGGCUAUAACCAGAAUAGAAUGAGUGGGAGGCCCCGGUGCACAACUGAGCAAGAGGACAAGUACAUUAGAGUGUCUAGUUUGAGAAACAGGUGCCUCACAAGUCCUCAACUGACUGGCCUUCUAGGCAGAGUUGCAAAGAGAAAGCCUUAUCUCAGACUAGCCAAUAAAGAUAAAAGAUUAAGAUGGGCAAAAGAACAUAGACACUGGACAGAGGAACUCUGCCUAGAGGCCAGCAUCCCAGAGUCACCUCUUCACUGUUGACGUUGAGACUAGUGUUUUGCGUACUAUUUAAUGAAGCUGCCAGUUGAGGACUGAAAAUAAGGCGUCUGUUUCUCAAACUAAACACUAAUGUACUUGUCCUCUUGCUCAGUUGUGCACCGGGGCCUCCCACUCAUUCUAUUCUGG